UCACAGUAUGCUAAUGAGCCAGGGGGGGGCCUUUAAGUGCCGGGGCCCGGGGCCGGCAGACCGGACAGGAGACCGUGAACCUGAAGUGGACGCGUGGCAGCUUUUAGAAACGUGAAGACGUCGUGGAGGGGAAGAGUCAGCGAGCCACAGAAGACACAACACUUGAAUGUGGAAAAAGAUUGCCACAACUCACUGCCCCCCGUCAUUAUGUCUUGUGCCCUGGACAGGAUAUCAUCUUAUACUGUAAGUUUGUUAAAGAGACACUACAGUAUAGAUGAUGUACUAUCCAGGGUUUCAUUCCCGCUCUGGGCACCAUCAGCAGCACACACACACACACACACACUGAGGCCGAACGGACCACGGGCUGCACACGCAGAGGAGGGCCGUAAAACCGUUACCAUUACUGAGUUUUUAGCAAUGGUAAGGGUUCCAUGGCCCUCGCUCGAUGUCAUCUGGACCUAAAGGAGGAGGACUCUGAUUGAUGUGUUAUUAAAUUGAAGAAACAUCUUCUGAUCCCAUUUUAUUUUUUUAAGAUGUACUUAAAUAAAGCAUGUGUUGCAUAUAAAAUGAA